GGAGAGGUGGCAGAGUGGUCGAAUGCGGCGGUCUUGAAAACCGUUGACCGUUCACGCGGUCCGUGGGUUCGAAUCCCACCCUCUCCG